rnacentral:piRNA from 3 species
GAGGGACUUUCAGGGGCAGCUGUG